rnacentral:lncRNA from 1 species
GGUGUGGAAUGUGAGGCCUCCAUUGCUGAGUACUUUCACCACUGUGAUUGAGGAAAUUUUCAUUUGCUUUCUCUAAGGAAGUGACAUAUAAGCUGAGCCUGAAAGAUGAAGAGGAGCAGAUUGUAUGCAGAGCAGAGGGAAGAGCAAGCUGAUGGAGGUGACUAAUCAGAGGGCCUGAUGGUCAAGUGCUCAAGGUGGAGUUAAAGGAAACCCUGCUUUCUUGACAUCACCAGCUGCUCAGAAGCCUUCAGCAGGCAUCCUAGACCUUCUCCUUCUCUAAGGGAUGGGCCUCACCUACUUUCUUCAGCUGAGACCUGGCACAGACCCUUGGAGCUUCUAAGGACCCCAUUGUAGCCUUGGGGUGGAGGCCCAUGGCACCACUGCCCUCUCCCUGGGAUAAAGGUCCUGGGGCCACUUCUCAGGGCUGUGUCCCUCUAUCAGGAGGUAAUUGUCUCUCCCAAAUCACCUUCUUCUUCUUCCUUUUUCUUCACCCCAUUAAAAAAAGGGUACAGAAUACCUUUCUUUUUUCUUUUUUUUUCUUUUUUUUUUGAGACAGUCUGUCACUCCAUCACCCAGGCUGGAGUGUGGUGGCGUGAUCUCUGCUCACUGCAACCUCUGCCUCCCAGGUUCAAGCAAUUCUCAUGCCUCAGCCUUCCAAGCAGUUGGAAUUACAAGUGCGCAUCACCACACCCGGCUAAUUUUUGUAUUUUUAGUAGAGAUGGGGUUUCGCCAUGUUGACCGAGGUCUCGAACUCCUGACCUAAAGUGAUCAGCCUGCCUUGGCCUCCCAAAGUGCUGGGAAUACAGGAGUUAGUCACUGUGCCUGGCCCCUUUCCUUUUGUUCUGUAAGAGCUCAGCCAACAUCUAACAUGUAUGCAUUCGGUCAUUCAUAGACAAGAAUUUCAGCUUGGAACCAAAAUGCUUGGAUUUAUAUGUCAGCUAUUUGCCUCUACAGCUCAGUCUACUUACUGGCUCUGCGACCUCGGGCAAGUUGCUUAAUUGCUGUAUGCUUCAGCUUAAUCAUUUGUAAAACAAGUUUCCACUCUUUAGGUUUUCCAAAGAAAUCAGAUGUGUAAAUCUAUAGAAGACGUUUAAAGAACUGUUCCUGGCAACUUAAAAAUGUUUGUUAUUGUUACCCUUUUUUCCUUAUUAUUAUUAUAUGGCCAGUGACCUAGUCUAGGCAGUGGUUAUAUCAAGACAAAUCAAACAGUUUCUAGCUAAAGUCCCCGGACUGGCAGGGCAGGGGUGGGGGUUCAACCCAGUUAUCCCUAAUCAGUGUGACCCAUGCUAUAGUGAAGGUGUGCGAAGUCAUGGAAACACAGAAGAGGGGGCAGUUUCUUGUGUUGAAAGGAUGAGUUGAAGUUUUUCCAGGUGAAGUAUGGGGAAAGGGAAAACAGGAGGCAGAGAAGGCCUUCUAGGCAGCAAGAAUGCACUGUGCAAAGGCUGAGGCAUGUGAAGAAACAAGAUGUGGGGUGACUGAAGGAGCCAUGUGGGCUUGGUGAAGAAAAAAAAGGUGGUGUCCAGAUUCCUAUGCCAGGGAAUCUGAGUCCCAAAAGUGAAGGAGAGACAUAAAUGUCUGAGCAGGUUAGAAACAGAAUGAGGGCUGGGGCGUGGUGGCUUACGCCUGUAAUCCAAGCACUUUGGGAAGCUGAGAUGGGCAGAUCACCUGAAGUCAGGAGUUCAAGACCAGCCUGGCCAACAUGGUGAAACCCCCAUCUCUCUACUAAAAAUACAAAAAUUAGCUGAGUGUGGUGAUGCACACCUGGGAUCCCAGCUACUCAGGAGGCUGAGACAGGAGAAUUGCUUGAAUCUGGGAGGUGGAGGUUGCAGUUAGCUGAGACUGCACCACUGCACCCCAGCCUGGGCAACAGAGCAAGACUCUGUCUCAGAAAAAAAAAAAAGAAAAGAAAAGAAAAGGAAAGGAAAAAAGGAAAGGAGAGGAAAAAAGGAAAUAAAAGAAACGAAAAGAAACAGAAUGUACCUCUGAGUUCUGUCCACAGGAGGCUGGGAGAGGAACAACUCACUACAGCUACAUCAAUUCAGCUACAUUGUAUCCCUAGUGUUAUGUGUAUAUAUAAUGCUAUGUAUAUGUAUAUAUAAUGCUAUGGCCUAGCCUUGCCUGAGGAUGUCCUCACCAAUUUUAACAUUGUUUCUAUUUGAAAUAUAUAUUUUUUUAAUUUCCAAACAGCCUACCGGCAACCAAACUCUUGGAAAACAGCUUGUUCUUAAAAUGAGGUUCUCCAGCAGUGUAAUGUGGUCAUGAACCUCUAGAUUUUAGUUAAAAAACAGGCCAGAUGCGGUGGCUCAUGCUUGUAAUCCCAGCACUUUGGGAGGCCGAGGCGGGAGAAUCAUUUGAGCCCAGGAAUUCGAGACCAGCCUAGGCAACAUAGUGCGACCUCAUCUCUAAAAAAAAUUUUACAAUUACCUAGGUAUGGUGGCACAUGCCUGUGGUCCCAGCUACUGAGGAGGCUGAGGUUGCAGGAUUGCUUGAGUCUAGGAGGUCGAGGUUGCAGUGGGCUGUGAUCAUACCACUGCACUCCAGCCUGGGUGACAGAGGGAGACCUUGUGUCCAAAAACAAACAAAAAACCCCAAAACCAUAACCUCUGAAGGAUUGAGGGGAAAAAAUCAAAGCAACAUUGUCUUAUUCUGAUGUGAUCAGUAGGUUAAUCAGAAACCUUGUCCUAAAAUCUGUGUUAUUUUAGAUUCCUUUCCAUCUUUCAUCCUCAAAUUGUGAAAUUAGCAUGAUACAGUUAUUCAUUCUGAGAGCUGUCCGCGGAACAUGUAUUGAUUGAGCCUGUGUGCCACGCAUUCUGCUAAGCCCUUUAUGCAUAUUAUUUAGUCUUUACAACCCUCUAAAGUUGGUAUUCUUUUUUUUUUUUUUUUUUGAUACAGGGUCUCACUUUGUCACCCCACCUGGAGUGUAGUGGCGCAAUCUCAGUUCACUGCAGCCUCCGCCUCCCAAGUCAAGCGACUCUCCUGCCUCAGCCUCCUGAGUAGCUGGGAUUACAGGCAUGCACCACCACACCUGGCUAAUUUUUGUAUUUUUAGUAGACGCAGGGUUUCGCUAUGUUGUCUAGGCUGUUCGCAAACUCCUGACUUCAAGUGAUCCACCUACCUCACCCUCCCAAAAUGCUGGGAUUACUGGCGCCUUGCCUAAAGUUGGUAUUCUAAUUUUCAAAUAAGGAAAUUGGAGCUCAGAAGGUUAUCCGAUUUUACCAGGGACACACAGUUGACAAGCAGCAGAAUCAGAGAUGGAACUCAGAUCUGUGCAUGUCCAAAGUUAGUGCACUCAACCACUUCCCUGUAUGCUUCUAUGGAUCAAUCAACAUUGAAACAAUUUUUUCUUGGUCUCCAGCCUUUAAAAACAAGUCUCUUUAAGCUGAGUAACUGACUUAAAGUAAUAGGUGCAUGGAAUCGGUGCUAUUUGUCCAAACUGCUCCCAUCUCUUCCACACUGAUCUUGUUCAAGUUCUCAAACAUGACAAUAUUUUCUGGAUGCUUUUCAAAUAUAUCAUUUUACAUGUUCGAAAUCUCUUAAUACCACUCAGGAGUGAGUAAAUAUUAGCAGCCAUUAGUUAUGGAGUAGUAAACUGAGCUAGAAAUAAGAUGAAUGACAAGUUCUAGAACGUAACAGCGGUGGGAGGUGUCUCAGCAAAGCAGCAAUGGAGCCAAUAAAGGUUUAUGGACUCAUAAGUCCACAGUAAGAAAUGUCCUACAUGCAGUGUAGGACUCAGGAAGUUGAGACCUCAGAGUGCUUGCUUGGUUUUGAACUCCAUAUCACGGAACCAUAAAUACAUACAUAGUCAUAUGCAUGAGUCCUCAGGUUCUAGUAACUGAUUCACAAACUCUUCCUGGAAGUCCUUUGGUAAUAAAUAUCAGAAUUACGAGCAAUGUGUUUUCUAAGUCAGAACAACACACUGUAUCCAAUUAGUCUCAGCGAAGUCCCAGUAAAGGAAUUUCAUCCAAUCUGACUCAGAACAACACGGUGGUGACAUCAGGUCCAAUACAGACCCUGCAGAGAAAAUGAAUGGGUGGGGAUAGACUGAGCACAUGUGCACUUUUCUGGGUCCCUCCUCUGCGGCGCAGGCCACAGGCAGUCCUUUCUAGUAAAGCCUGUGUGAAACCCUGGUGGUGAAGGAGUCUUAUCUUGACAGCUUCCGCUGUAUCACAACAUUCACAACAGUAUGUCAGUAAAAGGCAAAAAGAAACAACCCAAUUAUAUUGAACCACAGAUGUGUAGAUGUGUACACAGAUGUUCCCCCCCAUCCCCACUCCAAAAAAGGAAGUUCCCCGGAUGUCUUGCUCCGUAGCAAUUGUCACAUGCAUUUUAAAGAAAUUCAGCAUCUUUGUGUCACAUUCUCAAGAUAGUUUCAAAUUAACGUUUGACUACUUGAGAGGCUGAAGUGGGAGGAUUGAUUGAGGCUAGGAGUUCAAAGCCAGCCUGGGCAACAUAGUGAGACCCCCAUUUCCAAAAAAAAAAUAAAAGAGUAAAAAAACAGUUAUCUUCGGCAUUGGAGUCAAUGGGGUGUAUGGCUAAAUAUCAGAAACACCACACUUCCUUAGCUAACUUUACUUAGAGAUAUUUGUUCUGAUUCAAGCUUUGUUCUUUUAUUCCCUUUUAUUUAUGAAUUUAUGAAGAGCACAGAUACCAUUU